GGGGGGGGUUAUCGGUCUGCGACGGAUCAUUCAAGUUUCUGACCUAUCAGCUUUCGACGGUACUGUAUUGGACUACCGUGGCAGUGACGGGUAACGGGGAAUUAGGGUUCGAUUCCGGAGAGGGAGCCUGAGAAACGGCUACCACAUCUAAGGAAGGCAGCAGGCGCGCAAAUUACCCAAUCCUGAUUCAGGGAGGUAGUGACAAGAAAUAACAACACUGGAAAUUUCAUUUCUAGUGAUUGGAAUGAUAGGAAUCCAAACCCCUUUCAGAGUAACAAUUGGAGGGCAAGUCUGGUGCCAGCAGCCGCGGUAAUUCCAGCUCCAAUAGCGUAUAUUAAAGUUGUUGCAGUUAAAAAGCUCGUAGUUGGAUUUCUGCUGGAAGCAGCCAGUCCGCCCUCAGGGGUGUGCACUUGGUGAAUUCUAGCAUCCUUCUGGAUUUCUCCACACUUCAUUGUGUGGAGUUUUUUCCAGGACUUUUACUUUGAGAAAAUUAGAGUGUUUCAAGCAGGCUUGUCGCCUUGAAUACUGCAGCAUGGAAUAAUAAGAUAGGAUUUCGGCCCUAUUUUGUUGGUUUCUAGGACUGAAGUAAUGAUUAAUAGGGACGGUUGGGGGCAUUCGUAUUUAACUGUCAGAGGUGAAAUUCUUAGAUUUGUUAAAGACGAACUACUGCGAAAGCAUUUGCCAAAGAUGUUUUCAUUAAUCAAGAACGAAAGUUAGGGGCUCGAAGACGAUCAGAUACCGUCGUAGUCUUAACCAUAAACUAUGCCGACUAGAGAUAGGAAAACGUCAUGCUUGACUUCUCCUGCACCUUAUGAGAAAAUCAAG
rnacentral:rRNA from 1 species